rnacentral:rRNA from 1 species
UACGAAGGGGGCUAGCGUUGCUCGGAAUCACUGGGCGUAAAGCGCACGUAGGCGGAUUGUUAAGUCAGGGGUGAAAUCCUGGAGCUCAACUCCAGAACUGCCUUUGAUACGUGGCGAUCUCGAGUCCGGGAGAGGUGAGUGGAACUGCGAGUGUAGAGGUGAAAUUCGUAGAUAUUCGCAAGAACACCAGUGGCGAAGGCGGCUCACUGGCCCGGUACUGACGCUGAGGUGCGAAAGCGUGGGGAGCAAACAGG